rnacentral:rRNA from 1 species
AGUUUGAUCCUGGCUCAGAUUGAACGCUGGCGGCAGGCCUAACACAUGCAAGUCGAGCGGUUGACGGGAGCUUGCUCCCUGAUUCAGCGGCGGACGGGUGAGUAAUGCCUAGGAAUCUGCCUAUUGGUGGGGGACAACGUUUCGAAAGGAACGCUAAUACCGCAUACGUCCUACGGGAGAAAGCAGGGGACCUUCGGGCCUUGCGCUAAUAGAUGAGCCUAGGUCGGAUUAGCUAGUUGGUGAGGUAAUGGCUCACCAAGGCGACGAUCCGUAACUGGUCUGAGAGGAUGAUCAGUCACACUGGAACUGAGACACGGUCCAGACUCCUACGGGAGGCAGCAGUGGGGAAUAUUGGACAAUGGGCGAAAGCCUGAUCCAGCCAUGCCGCGUGUGUGAAGAAGGUCUUCGGAUUGUAAAGCACUUUAAGUUGGGAGGAAGGGUUGUAGAUUAAUACUCUGCAAUUUUGACGUUACCGACAGAAUAAGCACCGGCUAACUCUGUGCCAGCAGCCGCGGUAA